rnacentral:lncRNA from 10 species
GUUUUGUUUGUUUACAUUUUAAUAGGAUUGCUCUAGCAGCUGUGUUGAGAAAAGACAACACAGGGAGACAAGCAUAGAAGCAGGAAGGGGAGGUAGCUGCAAAAGGCAGGAGAGAGGUGAGGCGGGCUGGUCCAGGAGGUGGCCAGGAUUCGGGGGUGAGGCAGUGGGAGUAGCAAAAGCAGAUUCUGGAUGCUCUUGACAGUAGAGCCUGUAGGACUUGCUGAUGGAUCAAAUGUGGGUGUGAGAAGUCAGGCAGGACUCCCAAGGUUUGGCCCUGGUGUGAUGUUUAAUAUUAAGUGUCAACUUGAUUGAAGGAUUCACAGUAUUGUUCCUAGGUGUGUCGUGAGGGUGUUCCCAAAGGAGAUUAACAUUUGAGUCAGUGGACCGGAAGAGGCUGACCCACCCUCAAUCUGGGUGGGCCCCAUCUAAUCGGCUACCAGAGCGGCUAGAAUAAAGCAGACUUGCUGAGUCUUCUGGCCUUCAUCUUUCUGCCGUACUGGAUGCUUCCUGCCCUUGAACAUCAGCCUCCCAGUUCUUCAGCUUUCGGACUCUUAGACUUACACCAGUGGUUUGCCAGGGCCUCUUGGGCCUUUGCCCACAGAUGGAAGGCUACACUGUCGGCUUCCCUAUUUUUGAGGUUUUGGGACUUGGACUGAUCCACCACUGGCUUCCUUGCACCUCAGCUUGCAGACAGCCAAUCAUGGGACUUUAGCUUGUGAUCGUGUGAGUCAAUUCUCCUCAAUAAACUCCCUUUCAUAUAUACAUGUAUCCUAUUAGUUCUGUCCCUCUAGAGAACCCCGACCCUGACUAAUACACCUGGCAAACUGCCAUUUACUGAGAUACAAAAGAUUGCAGAAGGCACUGGUUUGGUCAAGAAAUCUGGAUGUUUGGUUUGUUUGUUUGUUUGUUUAUUUUGAGACGGAAUCUGCUCUGUCGCCCGGGCUGGAGUGCAGUGGCAUGAUCUCGGCUCACUGCAACCUCUGCCUCCCAGGUUCCAGCGAUUCUCCUGCCUCGGCCUCCUGAGUAGAUGAGACUACAUGUGCGCGCCACCAUGCCUGGCUAAUUUUUUGUAUUUUUUAGUAGAGACAGGGUUUCACCAUAUUGUCCAGCCUGGUCUUGAACUCCUGAUCUUGUGAUUCACCCGCCUUGGCCUCCCAAAGUGCUGGGAUUACAGCCGUGAGCCACCGUGCCCGGCCUUGGUUUUUAUUUCGUUAGUAUUAAGAAACCUAAUAGGCAUUCAUUCAAGUGGACGUAUCAAGUAAGCAAUUGUACAUAGAAGCCUAGGCAAGCUAGAAAUUAAGGAAUCAUCAGCUUUAGAUCAUAUUGAAAGCCUUAAGACCAGAUGAAAUGAAUGAGCAAGUAAGUGACUGCAGAGAAAGACUGCCACAGACUGAGCUCUGGAGUCAGACAGGAGGAAGAAGCAGCACUCCCUGAGCUGGGGGUUGUGCAGAGCUGUACAGAGAGAGAGAGAGUGCCAGAGGUUUGCAGAGGGUUCCCUUCAAGUCUUUACUGAGCAGUGCAGGCAAGUGAAGAAAUACCUGCAUUUCAAAUUCCUACUGUGGUAGGCACUCCUACCCCAUGCCAGAUAAAGAAUCACCAGCGAAUAUUAGAGAAAACAAUCCCCAGCACUCACGCACGGCCCAGAGGAACUCCGAAUUCCGCCAAUCAUGGUGAAAACCUUCACAACUCAAGGAUUUGUUGAGUAGAAUGCUGCUCAGGGCCCACCCCCUAAAAAAAGUGUAAAAACAUGACCUGAAGCAUCAAGCUCUUUCCAAGGAACUUACCUGCACCCCAGAACAAAGCUCAAAAAUAUUCAUAAAAAUAAACAUUAUAUGUAUCUCAAAGUAAACUUCUCAAUGUCUGGCAUUCAAUAAAAAAUUAUCUGGCUUGUAAAGUAGGAAAAUAUUACCUACAAUGAAGAGAAAAGCCAAUCAAUAUAAACAAUCUCAGAAAUUACUUAGGUGAUAAAGUUAGUAGAAAUGACACAUGUUCCAUAUGCUUGAGCACUAAACACGGAAACCAGAGGACCCAGAUGCAGGUCCAGACACCGAGUGAAACUUCUGCAGGUGAAAUGGCAAUGCCUGAGACGAAAAAUACGCUGGAUGGAAUUGACAGCAGAUUAGAUACUAUAGGAAAGAUGAGUGAAUUUAAAGACACAGCAAUGGAAAUUACACGAAAAUGAAAAACAGAAAGAAAAAAGACUGACAAAAAAUGAACAAAGCCUGAGUUAGCUGUGAAACAAAUUCAAGUGAUCUAAUAUUUGUGUAGUAGAAUCGCCAAAGGAAAGGAGAGGCAGGGGCAGAAAAAAAUAUUUGAAGAAAUAAUGGCUGAAAAAACUCCAAAUCUGAUAGCAACUAUAAACUCAAAGACCAGAGAAGUUCAGUGAAACUCAAGGACAAGAACUUUAAAGAAAAUCAACACCAAGGCACAUCAUAAUCAAAUUGCUUCAGACUAGUGAUACAGAUGAAAUCUUAAAACCAAGCAGAGAUAAAAGACACGUUGCAUAAAAGAAAUAAAGAUAAGAAUGGCAGUUCACUCCUUAUCGGAAACAAAAUGAGCCAGAAAACACUGAAACAGUAUCUUCAUGUUAGAAAAAAAAAAUUGAAAACCCUAAAAAUCGAAAUUGAGCAAAAAUAGCUUCAAACACAGAAGUGAAAUAAAGACUUUUUUGGACAUAUAAAAGCUGAAAGAAUUAGUCACCAGGAGAUCUACACUUCAAGAUCUGUCAAGGAAAGCCCUUCAGACAAAAGGGAAAUGAGACCAUGGAAAUCUAAUCUAUACAAGAGAAUAAGGAGUCUUAGAUAUGGUAACUAUGUGAGUAAAUAUAAAACACUUUUUUCUUAUUGUUUAAAUCUAUUGAAAAGAAUUGGCUGAAAAUGCAGUAUAUAUGUACAAAGUAUUGAAUAGUAUUCAGUCUUAAACAGGAAGGAAAUUCUGACACAUUCUACAAUGUUACAGAUGAAUCUUGAGGACAUUAUGCUAAGUGAAAUACGACAGUGAGGAAAAGACAAAUACUGUAUGACUCCAUUUAUAUGAGGUACUGUACCUAGAGAAGCCAAUUCCUAGACAGGAAGUAAAAUGGUGGUUGCCAGGCACUGUGGGGAGAAGUGAAUGGGGAGUUGUUGUUAAACAGGUACAGAGUUUCAGGUUUGCAACAUGAAGCGUUCUAGAGAUGGAUGGUGCGGUGGCUCACGCCUGUAAUCCCAGCACUUUGGGAGGCUGCCCAGCACUUUGGGAGGCUGAGGCAGGCGGAUUACCUGAGGUCAGGAGUUUGAGACCAGCACAGCCAACAAGGCGAAACCCCGUCUCUACUAAAAAUACAAAAAUUAGCCAGGUGUGGUGGCGCGUGGCUGUAAUCCCAGCUACUCAGAAGUCUGAGGCAGGAGAAUCACUUGAACCCGGGAGGCAGAGGUCAUAGUGAGCUGAGAUCACGCCACUGCAUUCCAGCCUGUGCAACAAAGCAAGACUACAUCUCAAAAAAUAAAAUAAAAUAAAUACAUACGUAUGUGCAGUUAUGCCUAUACUUCAAUAAAAUUGUUUCAAAUAAAAGCACGAUGAGCUGCCUGGACAGGUGAAAAUUCCAGUGGUAGUCAUAAUGUCUUUCCAUAGACUUUCUCUUCUCCUUUCUUUCAGGGACAUAACAAUAUUGCAUUUCCUGUCCUCUUUGAAAUUAAGUGUUGCCACAUGACUUGCUUUGGCCCAUGAAAUGUAAAUAGAAGUUCUUAUAGCAAUUCCUGGUAAGUGCUUCUCUAACUAAUGCACAAUCAGUCCUAAUGCAUAGCCACUCCUACCUGAGUGAUUGUGGAGAUGCAUUUAGAUAAAACACACUCGGUCAGCCUGGGUCUAGGAGGGCCCAUGAGCAAGUCUCUGCUCGUGGGAGUGGACAGGUAGUCUGAGCGAGGAACUUUGCUGCGUAAGUCAUAAAUGGGUUGAGAGAUCUGCAUUACUGCAGUUAAUCUAGCCCAUUCUGACUGAAUAUUCCCUAGCAACAGAGGUAUCUGAUCAUGGACAUAGUUUUGACAGUGGAAGGUAAAGUGGCCCAGUGACCUCUGAGGUGUCUACUUUCUUGAAGAUGUGAGUUAUAUGUCAUAGUCUCCACCAGCCUGGGUGUGGAAUUGAGCUUCCAUUUUCAAGUCUCCACUUGUAUGUCUGGAAUUUGGCUCCUUCUCAAGGUAACACCCAGGGAUUGCUGAGUUCCCAAGUGCUCAGACACAAGUCCACUCAUUUUCUUCAAUUCCAGUUACCAAAGAAAGUCACCAUUCCACCGAGGCUGUGACCAGUGCCCUCCACCAGGCCUAGCUCCAAGAAUCUCAUGCAUCAAGCCCCAGGGCUCCUCACGUUGGGCAUUAAAUGUAAGGUCAUGCCACAUUCUUUAACAUUGUCAGGAAGCAGGAAGGAAAGUACCAGAUACUUGAAGGACCCACUGACCUGGAAAAAAGUGGGAUCUAGUUUCAGCUUGAAAAAAUCCUUCUUCAUAAUUACAUUUCCCUUAGGCAAAUCUCUAACAUGCCUAGGCUUUUGUAUAUCUGUUUUUACUGCGUCACAAACCUCCCCCAAAGAGAAGGGAGACGAUAACUGGAGAAAACCACAAAUUAAUCUUCCAAUAUUUUUUUCUUCCAUAUAAUCAGCAGUGCCUCAGAAUCAAAGCAGUCUCUAAAAAUAUUUUGAAGAAAUUUAUUUUCUUGGAUCUUCAAAGAUCCAAAGUUACUGAGAUGCAAAGAAUCUUCCACAGUAUCAUCCAAGGAUACUGAAGGGCUCCUUCAAACCUCGCCCUUGUAUAUUUCUUCUUCCAGUUGUGAUACUGCAGUUACAUUUGCAAACCAAAUGAUCCCUUUGGGUGGUUUUUCCAAAACAAAUCGUCUUUCCCAAAGGCCUACCUAAGUCUUCAUUUUCCACAAAGUAGAAAACUGCCCACAGCUUUGAAAUGGCAGCAUAAUUUGUAUUUCUACCACCUUGUCCAGGUUUCAGGGAUCUCUGGUCCAGUUUCA